rnacentral:rRNA from 1 species
UACGGAGGGUGCGAGCGUUGUCCGGAAUCACUGGGCGUAAAGGGCGCGUAGGUGGCGCGGGAAGUCAACGGUGAAAGUUCGGGGCUCAACCCUGAAUCGGCCGUCGAUACUCCCGGGCUCGAGCACUGUAGAGGCAGAUGGAAUUCCGGGUGUAGCGGUGGAAUGCGUAGAGAUCCGGAGGAACACCGAUGGCGAAGGCAGAUCUCUGGGCCGUAACUGACGCUGAGGAGCGAA